rnacentral:lncRNA from 1 species
CUGAGUUUGGAUGACGCGAAACAAGAGCAGCUGGGUGCGUUCGCUCAUGAAGAAACCAUGGACGACGAGCUGGAACAGAUGCAACUCGCGUCCAAGUAAACACAUGCAACUCAGCCAUGAACGAUGAAGCUGGAAAAGUUGAAACUCUAAUACUGACCAACUGGGGAAAAGUUCAGUUUAGGGUUGGGACCCUAAUGCUGACUAAAGGAAAAGUUCAGUUUAGGGUUUAAAACCCUAAUGCUGAUUAAAGGAAAAGUUCAGUUUAUGGUUUAAAACCCUAAUGCUGACUGAAUGGGAAAGAGUUCAGUUUAGGGUUUAAAACCCUAAUGCUGACUAAAGGGAAAAGUUCAGUUUAGGGUUUAAAACCCUAAUGCUGACUGAAAGGAAAAUGUUCAGUUUUAGGGUUUAAAACCCUAAUACUGACUAAAGG